GCAGCUGGAGAAGGCGGCCUGGCGCUGGGCGGAGACGGUGCGGCCCGAGGAGGUGUCGCAGGAGCACAUCGAGACCGCUUACCGCAUCUGGCUGGAGCCCUGCAUUCGCGGCGUGUGCAGACGAAACUGCAAAGGAAAUCCGAAUUGCUUGGUUGGUAUUGGUGAGCAUAUUUGGUUAGGAGAAAUAGAUGAAAAUAGUUUUCAUAACAUCGAUGAUCCCAACUGUGAGAGGAGAAAAAAGGUAAACCAUCAUUUUUUAAGCGAUUGCUAUAUGCUGUUUUUUGUUUUUGUUUUUGCUUUUGUUUUGGGCCGUGAUCAGAAAACUACUGAUUUCAGGUAACCUGUGCAGCUUUAAGAUAAGCAGUAGAACUUAAGACUCUAAGCCACUUGAAUUGGAACACUUCUUAAUGAUAUGCUUUAAAACAGGCAGCUGCGUAAUU
rnacentral:sRNA from 1 species